rnacentral:rRNA from 1 species
GACGAACGCUGGCGGCGUGCUUAACACAUGCAAGUCGAACGAAGAGCGACGGAAGCGUGCUUCUAUCAAUCUUAGUGGCGACCGGGUGAGUAACGCGUAAGCAACCUGCCCUUCAGAGGGGGACAACAGUGGGAAACGACUGCUAAAACCCCAUACAUACUAAUUUCGGCAUCAAUGAUGCAUGAAAGGGGGCGUAUACAGAAAAGCUAUCACUGAAGGAGGGGAUUGAUUCUGAUGAGCGAGUGGGAGGGGUAACGGCCCACCAAGGGGAGGAUCAGUAGCCGGUCUGAGAGGAUGAACGGCCACAUUGGGACUGAGACACGGCCCAGAAUACUACGGGAGGCAGAAGUGGGGAACAUUCCGCCGUGGCAGCCAGUCUGGCGGUGCAACGACGCGUGAGUGAUGACGGCAGUCGGGUUGUAAAGCUCUGUUAAUCGGGACGAAAGGCCUUCUUGCGCCUCGUGGGCAGGAUUGACGGUACCGGACUAGAAAGCCACGGCUACCUACGUG